ACUACCUACGGGAGGCAGCAGUGAGGAAUAUUGGUCAAUGGGCGGGAGCCUGAACCAGCCAAGCCGCGUGAAGGAAGAAGGCGCCAGGCGUCGUAAACUUCUUUUGUCGGGGAACAAAGGGCGCCACGCGCGGCGUUGUGAGUGUACCCGAAGAAAAAGCAUCGGCUAACUCCGUGCCAGCAGCCGCGGUAAUACGGAGGAUGGGAGCGUUAUCCGGAGUUAUUGGGUUUAAAGGGCGCGU
rnacentral:rRNA from 1 species